UACGGAGGGGGCUAGCGUUGUUCGGAAUUACUGGGCGUAAAGCGCGCGUAGGCGGCUUUGUAAGUCAGAGGUGAAAGCCUGGAGCUCAACUCCAGAACUGCCUUUGAAACUACAUCGCUAGAAUCAUGGAGAGGUUAGUGGAAUUCCGAGUGUAGAGGUGAAAUUCGUAGAUAUCUGGAGGAACACCGGUGGCGAAGGCGGCAUCCUGGACCAAUUCUGACGCUGAGGAGCGAAAGCCAGGGGAGCAAACGGG
rnacentral:rRNA from 1 species